rnacentral:rRNA from 1 species
ACUCCUACGGGAGGCUAGCAGUGGGAAUAUUGCACAAUGGGGAACCGUAGCAUGCAGCCAUGCCGCGUGUGUGAAGAAGGCCUUCGGGUUGUAAAGCACUUUCAGUAGGGAGGAAGGUAGUGUAGUUAACACCUGCAUUAUUUGACGUUACCUACAGAAGAAGCACCGGCUAACUCCGUGCCAGCAGCCGCGGUAAUACGGAGGGUGCGAGCGUUAAUCGGAAUUACUGGGCGUAAAGCGCAUGCAGGCGGCCUGUUAAGUCAGAUGUGAAAGCCCGGGGCUUAAGCCUCGGAAUUGCAUUUGAAACUGGACAGGCUAGAGUCUUGUAGAGGGGGUGAGAAUUGAUCGA